UUUUGUGCUUUCAUUUUCUUAAUUACUUUUACCUCAUUUUUAAAACAAAUCCAUAGUACGGAUGAUAUUGAUGAUGAAAUGUCUUAUGAUGAACAUUUAGAGGUUUAUUUUGAACAACUGGCAAUUCCAGGAAUGAUGGAAUAAAACAUAUGAAGUAGAAGGACUGGAACCUCCAUAAAAAAAUACUUUAAGUUACCUACAAGUGAUCCUAGUCAGGUAUGAAUUGAUAAGAAAUACCUGCACCUUUCCUCCUUCCUAUCUUUCCCUUGCCUACAGAAAAUUAAAAAGUAAAACAACGGACAUCUACAUAUUCUUCAUUCAGAUUAACAUGUUGCUAGCAUUUGCCACCUCUGCAUUUUCUUUCUCUUUCUGCAAAUGAAAACAGUAAAGUGGCAGUUUCACCCAGAAAAUAACAGCGCUGGUUGCUCAUGGCUCACACUCUUCUGAAACGACUCAGGAAGAGCCUGAGGAAGGCCAUGUUGUUUGUCUACCUGGGACUACACCUACUGAAGGAAGUUCUCAAGUUCUGAUUGAGUUCUAAAAGUUUUUUGAAGAUUGGAAUUCUUCAUAUGUAA